rnacentral:tRNA from 1 species
CAUUAAGUGGCUGAAAGUAAGUAAUGG